AUUGAACGCUGGCGGCAUGCUUUACACAUGCAAGUCGAACGGCAGCGCGGGCUUCGGCCUGGCGGCGAGUGGCGAACGGGUGAGUAAUGCAUCGGAACGUGCCCAGUUGUGGGGGAUAGCCCGGCGAAAGCCGGAUUAAUACCCCAUACGACCUGAGGGUGAAAGCGGGGGACCGAAAGGCCUCGCGCUAUUGGAGCGGCCGGUGUCGGAUUAGCUAGUUGGUGGGGUAAAGGCUUACCAAGGCGGCGAUCCGUAGCUGGUCUGAGAGGACGACCGGCCACACUGGGACUGAGACACGGCCCCGACUCCUACGGGAGGCAGCAGUGGGGAAUUUUGGACAAUGGGGGCAACCCUGAUCCAGCCAUGCCGCGUGCGGGAAGAAGGCCUCCGGGUUGUAAACCGCUUUUGUUCGGGAAGAAAUCCUCUGGGCUAAUACCCCGGGGGGAUGACGGUACCGGAAGAAUAAGCACCGGCUAACUACGUG
rnacentral:rRNA from 1 species